UACGUAGGUGGCAAGCGUUGUCCGGAAUUAUUGGGCGUAAAGCGCGCGCAGGCGGCUUCUAAGUCUGAUGUGAAAUCUCGGGGCUCAACCCCGAGCGGCCAUUGGAAACUGGGAGCUUGAGUACAGAAGAGGAGAGUGGAAUUCCACGUGUAGCGGUGAAAUGCGUAGAUAUGUGGAGGAACACCAGUGGCGAAGGCGACUCUCUGGUCUGUAACUGACGCUGAGGCGCGAAAGCGUGGGGAGCAAACAGG
rnacentral:rRNA from 1 species